rnacentral:lncRNA from 10 species
AAGGGAAGGGGAAGGGGAAGGAGAAGGGGAAGGGAAAGGGAAAGGGGAAGGGAAAGGGGAAUGGGAAGGGAAAGGGGAAGGGGAGAAAGGAAGAAAGAUCCAUUAGGCCUUACAGAAUCCCAUAAUGAUUACAACUAUGGUAACUGGCAUAAGCACAGAUAUAUAUACAUAUUUAUGGAACAGAAUUCAAAGUCCAGAGAAAAUCUCAUACAUCUUUGGCCAAUUUGUUUUCAAAAAUGGUGCCAAUACUAUUCAAUGGAGAAAGAGAAGUCUUUUCAACAAAUGGUGCUGUAACUGAAUAUCCACAUACAAAAGAAUGAAGUUGGACACCUACUGGGCCAUACUAUAUAUGAAGAUUAACUCAAGACGAAUUGGAGACCUAAAGAAUAAAGCCUCAACACUUAGAAAGGACUGCUGGGGAAAAUUUUAAACCCAUGUUGUCAUCAAUUCAAAACCAAGAUAAUUCAGGACUUCAGGAAAUACAAAGGUCUGAUUGUUUCUGCUGCUCAAAUAUGACAUCAAGAAAAGCCAAUAUUUGUACAGAACU